rnacentral:ncRNA from 1 species
AUCGAGGAUGCCGAAAAGCGAAAGAGUAGGCA